UACGUAGGGGACGAGCGUUGUCCGGAAUUACUGGGCGUAAAGGGCGCGCAGGCUGUUUGACAAGUCAGCUGUUAAAUAUGGGGGCUUAACCCUUAUAUGCGGUUGAAACUAUCAGACUGGAGUGCUGUAGAGGCAAGUGGAAUUCCCAGUGUAGCGGUGAAAUGCGUAGAUAUUGGGAAGAACACCGGUGGCGAAGGCGACUUGCUGGGCAGCAACUGACGCUGAGGCGCGAAAGCCAGGGGAGCAAACGGG
rnacentral:rRNA from 1 species